rnacentral:piRNA from 1 species
UCCAGUCCAGACUUUGGUCCUUUAACCGACA